AGCGAACGCUGGCGGCAGGCCUAACACAUGCAAGUCGAACGAACUCUUCGGAGUUAGUGGCGGACGGGGGUGGAACACGUGGGAAGGUGCCUUUAGGUUCGGAAUAACUCAGUGUAACUUGUGCUAAUACCGAAUGAGCCCUUCGGGGGAAAGAUUCAUCGCCUUUGGAGGGGCCCGCGUCUGUUUAGCUAGUUGGUGAGGUAAAGGCCGACCAAGGCGACGAUCAGUAGCUGGUUUGAGAGGAUGAUCAGCCACACUGGGACUGAGACACGGUCCGAAAUCCUACGCGAGGCAGCAGUGGGGAAUCUUGCGCAAUGGGGGAAGGGAUGACGGAGCCAGGCCGGGUGAAUGAUGAAGGUCUUAGGGUUGUAAAAUUCUUUAAUCGGGGGCGAUACUGACGGUACCCGGAGAAGAAGCCCCGGCUAACUUCGUG
rnacentral:rRNA from 1 species